rnacentral:rRNA from 1 species
UACAGAGGGUGCAAGCGUUAAUCGGAGUUACUGGGCGUAAAGGGCGCGUAGGCGGAUUUUUAAGUCGGAUGUGAAAUCCCUGGGCUUAACCUAGGAACUGCAUUCGAUACUGGAAGUCUAGAGUAUGGUAGAGGAAAGUGGAAUUCCCGGUGUAGUGGUAAAAUACGUAGAUAUCGGGAGGAACACCAGUGGCGAAGGCGGCUUUCUGGACCAAUACUGACGCUGAGGCGCGAAAGCGUGGGGAU